AGACUCCGUGGUCCGUGUUUCAAGACGGGUCGGACGAUAUCGAAAGCAGAAGCGCCGCUGACCGGGUGCAGGCCUGUCCGAGUGUAGGCCGAAACGGCCAUCGAACGCAUCCUCUGUGCGGCCUCUUCCCAAGCUUUGAUACCGUCGGGCGCCGAUCAGGUCAACCCGGGUCUUGCAAACAGCAACGCGGCACAAGGCCACCUCCGGCGCGGGCUCCACCAGGGGCCAGUGAACGGAACAUCCCAACGGGUCGCGACGUCCUACUAGGCGAGAAGUGCAGCCCACCGCACCAGACAGAUACCCCCAUGACGAGUGACGCCGUAUGACCCGAACCGAAGCCCGAGCUGACGACGCCAUCUGAACCCCGAGGGCCACCGGCACGGUAAAGCUUGAAUCUCACCAUUCGGACUUUUCGAACUCGUCCGUUUACACCACUUCAGUUUCACCUACUCUGAACUCUCUCUCCAAAGUCCUUUUCAACUUUCCCUCACGGGUACUUGUGUGCGAUCCGGUCCGUGGUCAUAUUUAGCCCUAGAUGGAGUUUACAACCACUUAAGUCUGCACUCUAAGCAAACGACUUUAAGGAGAGACCCACACGACAACCGCUCCUGCUCUACGGGCCUGUCACCCUCUGUGUGGCCCCAUUCAAGUUGGACUUGAACCAGUGAGCGAGUCGCCGUGUUGACGGGCCCUCCCAAACGCUACAUUUCCCGCCGAGCGAGGCCCGGGGGAUUCAGCGCUGGGCUCUUCCCUGUUCGCUCGCUGCUACUAGGGGAAUCCUUGUUAGUUUCUUUUCCUCGGCUUAGUAAUAUGCUUAAUUCAGCCGGUAAUCUCACCUGAACUGAGGUCG
rnacentral:rRNA from 1 species